rnacentral:sRNA from 1 species
AAAAUAUUUUAUACAUAGAUACAAUUUACAAAAUUUUACAUAUACUAACUUUAAAAUAUAAAUUGUUCCCGCGGUGUACCGCGGGUUAAAAUCUAGUUAAAACAUUAAAAAACCAUUGAAUGAUGAGAUAAAAUU